rfam:Candidatus Firestonebacteria bacterium RIFOXYA2_FTLL_40_8 rifoxya2_full_scaffold_3930, whole genome shotgun sequence.
GCCCAUGUAGCUCAGUUGGCUAGAGCACAUCCUUGGUAAGGAUGAGGUCAUCGGUUCAAUCCCGAUCGUGGGCU